rnacentral:rRNA from 1 species
GAUGAACGCUGGCGGCGUGCUUAACACAUGCAAGUCGAACGAGAAUCAACGGAUUGAGGAUUCGUCCAAAAUGAAGUUGAGGAAAGUGGCGGACGGGUGAGUAACGCGUGAGGAACCUGCCUCGGAGUGGGGGAAUAACAGUUGGAAACAGCUGCUAAUACCGCAUAAUGCAACGAAAUCGCAUGACUUUGUUGCCAAAGAUUUAUCGCUCUGAGAUGGCCUCGCGUCUGAUUAGCUGGUUGGUGGGGUAACGGCCUACCAAGGCGACGAUCAGUAGCCGGACUGAGAGGUUGACCGGCCACAUUGGGACUGAGACACGGACCAA